rnacentral:rRNA from 1 species
CAAUAGCGUAUAUUAAAGUUGUUGCGGUUAAAAAGCUCGUAGUUGGAUUUCUGCUGAGGACGACCGGUCCGCCCUCUGGGUGAGUAUCUGGCUCGGCCUGGGCAUCUUCUUGGAGAACGUAGCUGCACUUGACUGUGUGGUGCGGUAUCCAGGACUUUUACUUUGAGGAAAUUAGAGUGUUUCAAGCAGGCGCAUGCCUUGAAUACAUUAGCAUGGAAUAAUAGAAUAGGACUUUGGUUCUAUUUUGUUGGUUUCUAGGACCGAAGUAAUGAUUAAUAGGGAUAGUUGGGGGCAUUAGUAUUUAAUUGUCAGAGGUGAAAUUCUUGGAUUUAUGAAAGACUAACAUCUGCGAAAGCAUUUGCCAAGGAUGUUUNCAUUG